UGAUCCUGGCUCAGAACGAACGCUGGCGGCAUGGAUUAGGCAUGCAAGUCGAACGGUGUAGCAAUACACAGUGGCGGAAGGGUGAGGAACACGUGAAUAAUCUGCCCUCAAGUUGGGAAUAACUUUCCGAAAGGAAAGCUAAUACCGGAUGUGGUUGUUUUGCCGCAUGGUGAAACAACUAAAGAUUUAUCGCUAGAGGAUGAGUUCGCGUCCCAUUAGCUUGUUGGCGGGGUAACGGCCCACCAAGGCAGAGAUGGGUAGCUGGUCUGAGAGGAUGAUCAGCCACACUGGGACUGAGACACUGCCCAGACUCCUACGGGAGGCUGCAGUCGAGAAUCUUUUGCAAUGCGCGAAAGCGUGACAAAGCAAUGCCGCGUGCCGGAUGAAGGUCUUCGGAUUGUAAACGGCUGUCACCCGUGACGAAAAAUGACGGUAACGGGGGAGGAAGCCACGGCUAACUACGUGCCAGCAGCCGCGGUAAUACGUAGGUGGCGAGCGUUGUUCGGAUUUAUUGGGCGUAAAGGGUUCGUAGGUGGUUUGCUAAGUCUGACGUGAAAUCCCGUGGCUCAACCACGGAACUGCGUUGGAGACUGGUGAACUUGAGUAUUGGAGAGGUAAGCGGAAUACCAGGUGUAGCGGUGGAAUGCGUAGAUAUCUGGUAGAACACCGAUAGCGAAGGCAGCUUACUGGACAAUAACUGACACUGAGGAACGAAAGCGUGGGGAGCAAACAGGAUUAGAUACCCUGGUAGUCCACGC
rnacentral:rRNA from 1 species